UACGGAGGGUGCAAACGUUGCUCGGAAUCAUUGGGCGUAAAGCGCACGUAGGCGGCCUGUUAAGUCGGAUGUGAAAGCCCUCGGCUUAACUGAGGAAGUGCAUCCGAAACUGAAUAGCUAGAGUACGAAAGAGGGUCGCGGAAUUCCCGGUGUAGAGGUGAAAUUCGUAGAUAUCGGGAGGAACACCGGUGGCGAAGGCGGCGACCUGGGUCGAGACUGACGCUGAGGCGCGAAAGCGUGGGGAGCAAACAGG
rnacentral:rRNA from 1 species